rnacentral:lncRNA from 1 species
GGGGAGGGGAGGAGAGGGGGAAGGGGCGGAGGCUGAACCGUUGGCAUCCUGGCUUUGCUGGUUCCCAGUUGUGACCUUGGACAAGUUACUUUACUUUUCUGAUUCAAUGUCUUUGUAAAAUAAAGAUAAAGCCAGCAGGGCUGAUUUACAACUCAGCGACUGCAGAGGCGGACCCCAUGUUCAGCACACUCUGCGGCGGCGUGGUAAAUGCCCUCCAACUGGAAGUUGGGGCACUGGCUUCUCCCGACCGCGGCGGCGGAGCAGGCCUUGGCCAGACGCGGUGCUGCCACCCAGCGGUCCCCAGCGGAGUCGCUCUGCGCGUCCGUCCCUUAGGGGCUGGAGAUGGGAGGACAGUUCAGAAAAGUUCAGAGACUGCCUAAGAAGGUGCUCCGGGGAUAGAAGUAGAAAGGAGCGGAGAGGUCAUCUUGUUGUCGUGUUAUUUAUUCUACCGAGGGGGAAAAAUGCCACCCUGAGAAGCAAAGUGACUCCUGGGAGAGGCUGCUGGUCACUCCUGGUUCAGGACAAUGAGCUGCUUGCAAAAUCAUUCCCUUCGUUUUGCCCCACAAUGAAGCCUCACAAGCUCUCUAGGUCUGACUGGCUAUUCAAGGGAAGGACAGAUGGAACAGCGGAGGAGGCUGUCUUAACUUCUGAGGUCUGCUCUUCAGUGCCAUUUCUAACCUCUCAGACACUGACCUAAGCUAAGGACAAUAUUUGUGCUUUUCUAAGAAGGUGGUAAAAUAUUUGCACUUGGAAAUACAGAGCGAUAACACUUUAAUGUGGACUAACCUUAUCGGGAUUAGGUAAAUACAGCCAAAGCAAAACAAAAAGUAUUUUAGAAACUGGGACCAACGCAAACAAAUGUAUAGAAAACACUUUUGAAGGGCACCUAGUUCUAAUUAACAUUUGUAUUUAUGAAUGACCUUAGUUAUCGCCCCUAAAUAAAGUAUUUGUUGUACACUGCAGAGAGAGUCAGUGGCCCCACCCUUCCACAGGUCACAAAGUUUUGCAUUUCUGUCAAAGUAGCUGGACUGCGGAGCAGCUUUUAAUCAGAUAUAUGGACCACCACUGGAAAAUCAGACCCAGGUUCCUUUUCUAACCCUUAAUGCUGAGCUGGGUGACAUUCACACUCUGCCCCCAAUCCUGAUGUCAAAGACUAAGAUUUUUUUUUUUUUUUUUUUUUGGUUUGGUACCGGGCAUUGAACUCAGGACCUGUCACUAGCGAGGCAGGUGGCAGAACCACUGAGCUAAAUCCCCGGCCCUAAGAUAUUUUUAAAAAUGUGUUAAAAACACAUAACACGAAAUGUACGAUCAUAACCAUCUUGCAGAUUGCUAGAACUUCACCAUCGCUGCAUAACGGAAAGCCUACCCCUUAAGGGACAAGUGCCCAUCUGCUGGUCCCCCUUCCUGGACAGUCAUAGUCUCCUUUUUCUUUCAAUGAGUUUGGUUCCUUUAGAUACUGAAUGUGUGUGAAGUCAUGCAGUCUUUGUGUUUUUGUGGCUGGCUUAUUUCAUUUAGCCAAAGCCCCUAUGACAUGUGAUGUGCAAGUGAAUGGCUGAGGGCUGGGUCCUGGCUGACGUUCCCAGAAAUGGGUGCCAUACUAGAAAAAUCUACUUGUAAAAGGGGAAAAAUAGCACAUUGGAUUACAUGUGAUCAGGCAUCAUGG